AUUGAACGCUGGCGGAAUGCUUUACACAUGCAAGUCGAACGGCAGCACGGCCUUCGGUCUGGUGGCGAGUGGCGAACGGGUGAGUAAUACAUCGGAACGUGCCCAAUCGUGGGGGAUAACGUAGCGAAAGCUACGCUAAUACCGCAUACGAUCUAAGGAUGAAAGCGGGGGAUCGCAAGACCUCGCGCGAUUGGAGCGGCCGAUGGCAGAUUAGGUAGUUGGUAGGGUAAAGGCCUACCAAGCCGACGAUCUGUAGCUGGUCUGAGAGGAUGAUCAGCCACACUGGGACUGAGACACGGCCCAGACUCCUACGGGAGGCAGCAGUGGGGAAUUUUGGACAAUGGACGCAAGUCUGAUCCAGCCAUUCCGCGUGCAGGAUGAAGGCCCUCGGGUUGUAAACUGCUUUUGUACAGAACGAAAAGGCUCUGGUUAAUACCUAGGGCUCAUGACGGUACUGUAAGGAUAAGCACCGGCUAACUACGUGCCAGCAGCCGCAGUAA
rnacentral:rRNA from 1 species